CCUACGGGUGGCUGCAGUAGGGAAUCUUCCACAAUGGGCGAAAGCCUGAUGGAGCAACGCCGCGUGGGUGAAGAAGGUCUUCGGAUCGUAAAACCCUGUUGUUAGAGAAGAAAGUGCGUGAGAGUAACUGUUCACGUUUCGACGGUAUCUAACCAGAAAGCCACGGCUAACUACGUGCCAGCAGCCGCGGUAAUAAGUAGGUGGCAAGCGUUAUCCGUAUUUAUUGGGCGUAAAGGGAACGCAGGCGGGCUUGUAAGUUCUAUGUGAAAGGCUUGGGCUUAACCGGAGUAGUGCAUUGGAAACUGUGAGACUUGAGUGCAGAAGAGGAGAGUGGAACUCCAUGUGUAGCGGUGAAAUGCGUAGAUAUAUGGAAGAACACCAGUGGCGAAAGCGGCUCUCUGGUCUGUAACUGACGCUGAGGUUCGAAAGCGUGGGUAGCAAACAGGAUUAGAUACCCUUGUAGUC
rnacentral:rRNA from 1 species